CACGGAGGGUGCAAGCGUUAUUCGGAAUCACUGGGCGUAAAGCGCGCGUAGGCGGUCUCUUAAGUCAGCUGUGAAAGCCCGGGGCUCAACCCCGGAAGUGCAUUUGAAACUAAGGGACUUGAGUAUGGGAGAGGGAAGUGGAAUUCCUGGUGUAGCGGUGAAAUGCGUAGAUAUCAGGAGGAACACCGGUGGCGAUGGCGACUUCCUGGACCAAUACUGACGCUGAGGAGCGAAGGCGUGGGGAGCAAACAGG
rnacentral:rRNA from 1 species